ACAUGCUGGCGUGGGGGAAGGACUGGAUUCCUUUUCCUUUCUGCGUUUCUGUCCUGUGGAUAUUCUCACAUCGAGGAGAAGAUGGGAGGAGACUUUCUAAGGUCUCUCACCCUGGUGGCACUGCCCUCUGCUCUGCUGCCCAACAGGCUGGUCUGCAGAAAACCCUUGGCUUCCUUUUACUUCUCCUAAUUCAUUUUUCAAAAAUCAGCCAAAGCACUGCUGGAAACCUGGAGAACACAGGCAGCAAUUGGUAGGUGAGACGGCACAAACCAGGGGUCAGAGGACCAUGGUUCUAGGCCUGGCUCUGUCACCACCUUGCUGGCAGCCUUGAGCAGGUCACUUCCAGACUUCGAGCAUGUCUGGCCCUCAGUUUCUCCAUCGGUAAUGUGGCAAUAUAGGGCCAGUUGAUUUCUAAAGUUCUUGAAAUUCUGACUUUGUAUGGCUCUAUCUUUCUUGAUCCAGGACUAGGGAAAGAGCCCUGGACUGGAAUUCUUAUCACUCUGAGGCUAAGAAUCAGUUCCACCAUCCAAAGUCCAUGAGGCCAGGGCAGUGCUACAGUCCGCAGGGCCAGGGCAGUGCUGCAGUCCACGGGGCCAGAGGACAGUGCUGCAGCCCACGGGGCCAGAGGACAGUGCUGCAGCCCACGGGGCCAGAGGGCAGUGCUGUAGUCCACGGGGCCAGAGGGCAUGCUGCAGCCGUGAGGCCAGCACAGUGCUACAGUCCGUGGGGCCAGAGGGCAGUGCUACAGUCCGUGGGGCCAGAGGGCAGUGCUACAGUCCGCGGGGCCAGAGGGCAGUGCUGUAGUCUGCGGGGUCAGAGGGCAGUGCUGUAGUCCGCGGGGCCAGGGCAGUGCUGCAGUCUGUGGGGUCAGAGGGCAGUGCUACAGUCCGCGGGGCCAGAGGGCAGUGCUGCAGUCCGCGGGGCCAGAGGGCAGUGCUGCAGUCCGCGAGGUCAGAGGGCAGUGCUACAGUCCGCGGGGCCAGAGGGCAGUGCUGUAGUCCGCGGGGUCAGAGGGCAGUGCUGCAGUCCGCGGGGUCAGAGGGCAGUGCUGCAGUCCGCGGGGCCAGAGGGCAGUGCUGCAGUCCGCGGGGUCAGAGGGCAGUGCUGCAGUCCAUGAGGCCAGGGCAGUGCUGCAGUCCACAGGGCCAGAGGGCAGUGCUGAGGAUGGUGCUGAGGACGAUGCUGAGGGCGGUGCUAAGGGCGGUGCUGCAGCCACUUUGCAGGUGAAAGGGACCCUCAAGGGCUGAAUAGAGGAAGAAAAAGAAACAUUCUGGCCGGGUGUGGUGGCUCACACCUGUAAUCCCAGGACUUUGGGAGGCCGAGGCGAGCGGAUCACCUGAGGUCGGGAGUUCAAGACCAGCCUGACCAACAUGAAGAAACCCCGUCUCUACUAAAAAUACAAAAUUAGCCGGGUGUGGUGGCGCAUGCCUGUAAUCCCAGCUACUCAGAAGGCUGAGGCAAGAGAAUUGCUUGAACCUGGGAGGCGGAGGUUGCAGUGAGCCGAGAUCGCACCAUUGCACUCCAGCCUGGGCGACAAGAGAGAAACUCCGUCUCAAAAAAAAAAAAA
rnacentral:lncRNA from 1 species